rnacentral:rRNA from 1 species
AUGGAGCAAGCUAGCAACGCGCAUGACGAGCUGAGCCUCGAGCUCACCCUGGCCAGCGCCGUGGGCGUGGCGCUGGCGGCGCCUCGCUUCUUCCUCUGCGCCUACUGCGACCGCAGGUUCCUCACCGCGCAGGGGCUCGGCGGCCACCAGAACGCGCACGAGCAAGAGCGCGCCGUUGCCAGGCUCCACCGCGACGCCGCCACCGACAUGCGCGCACAAGCAAGAUUGCGCCGUUGCCAGGCUCCACCGGCAGCAUGCAAGGCUGCUUCUCUGUUGCCCGAGGACGAGGAGCCUGCUGCGGGUGGCAUGGCGCACAAGCGUGGCAACAGCUUGCCAGAGCGUGAGCAAGAGAUGGACUUGUCUCUCCGGCUGUAA